AUUCCUCAAUCAUAGGUUCAAUUCCUAU
rnacentral:tRNA from 1 species